rnacentral:snoRNA from 1 species
ACCCCCCAGAGCCCUUACCCUUCUGAUCCAAACUUUGAUCUGAGUGGCUAUAAAAAGAAGGGAAAGGGAAAACUGAGACGGACUGAGAGUCUCUUGUGACAUACAAGC